AUUGAACGCUGGCGGCAUGCCUUACACAUGCAAGUCGAACGGCAGCACGGGAGCAAUCCUGGUGGCGAGUGGCGAACGGGUGAGUAAAGUAUCGGAACGUGCCCAGUCGUGGGGGAUAACGUAGCGAAAGUUAAGCUAAUACCGCAUACGAUCUAUGGAUGAAAGCGGGGGAUCGCAAGACCUCGCGCGAUUGGCGCGGCCGAUAUCAGAUUAGGUAGUUGGUGGGGUAAAGGCUCACCAAGCCGACGAUCUGUAGCUGGUCUGGGAGGACGACCAGCCACACUGGGACUGAGACACGGCCCAGACUCCUACGGGAGGCAGCAGUGGGGAAUUUUGGACAAUGGGCGAAAGCCUGAUCCAGCCAUGCCGCGUGCAGGAUGAAGGCCUUCGGGUUGUAAACUGCUUUUGUACGGAACGAAAAGGUUUGGCCUAAUAAGCUGAGCUCAUGACGGUACCGUAAGAAUAAGCACCGGCUAACUACGUGCCAGCAGCCGCGGUAA
rnacentral:rRNA from 1 species